rnacentral:rRNA from 1 species
UCAAGCUACAAAGAGCACAAGGGGAAUGCCUUGGCACCGAGAGCCGAAGAAGGACGUGACUAACUGCGAUAAGCUGCGGGGAGCCGUAAGUAGGCUUUGAUCCGCAGAUUUCCGAAUGGAGCAAUCCGGCAAGAGGAAAGUCUUGUCAUCAUAUACUGAAUACAUAGGUAUAUGAGGGGAACCGCCUGAACUGAAACAUCUAAGUAGGGCGAGGAAGAGAAAUCAACUGAGAUUCCGUAAGUAGUGGCGAGCGAACGCGGAAGAGGCCAAACCGAGAGUAGUAAUACUUUCGGGGUUCGGACAGAAUACGGCAUUGUAAAGGUUUAGUGGAAUGGAAUGGGAAGUCCAACCGAAGAAGGUGAGAGUCCUGUACACGAAAAGCCUGAACAGCCAUCUGUAUCCAGAGUACCGCCGGACACGUGAAACCCGGUGGGAAUACGGGGGGACCAUCCUCCAAGCCUAAAUACUACUCGGUGACCGAUAGUGAAGAAGUACUGUGAAGGAAAGGUGAAAAGUACCCCUGACGGGGAGUGAAAAAGAACCUGAAACCUUGUGUUUACAAGCACCGAAAGCUCAUCAAAGAGCGAUCGGGUACCUUUUGUAGAAUGGUCCGGCGAGUGAAUGUAACCGGCGAGGUUAAGCACUUAAGGUGUGAAGCCGCAGCGAGAGCAAGUCUGAAUAGGGCGUAUGAAGUCGGUUGUAUUCGACCCGAAACCGGGUGACCUACCCAUGGUCAGGUUGAAGUAAAGGUAAAACUUUAUGGAGGACCGAACCGACUCCCGUUGAAAUGGUAGCGGAUGAACUGUGGGUAGCGGAGAAAUUCCAAUCGAACCCGGAGAUAGCUGGUUCUCUCCGAAAUAGCUUUAGGGCUAGCCUUGAAAUAGAUUACCGGAGGUAAAGCACUGAAUUGGCUAGGGGCCGAGAGGUUACUGAACCUUAUCAAACUAAGAAUGCCGGAUAAUCGUUUUUCAGGAGUCAGACAGUGGGAGAUAAGUUUCAUUGUCAAAAGGGAAACAGCCCAGACCCACAGCUAAGGUCCCCAAGUAUAGUUAAGUGGAAAAGGAUGUGGAAUUGCACAGACAACCAGGAUGUUGGCUUAGAAGCAGCCACUCAUUAAAAGAGUGCGUAAUAGCUCACUGGUCGAGUGACUCUGCGCCGAAAAUUUAACGGGGCUAAACUAUACACCGAAGCUUGGGAUACAUCUAAUGUAUGGUAGGAGAGCGUUCUGUAUGGGGAGAAGUCGUAGCGAAAGCGGCGGUGGACUAUACAGAAGUGAGAAUGCCGGAAUAAGUAGCGAGAAUUAAGUGAGAAUCUUAAUGGCCGAAAGUCUAAGGUUUUUGGAGGAAGGUUCGUCCGCUCCAAGUAAGUCGGGAGCUAAGGUCAGGCCGAAAGGCGUAGCCGAUGCACAUACGGUUGAUAUUCCGUAACCAUCUGUAAUUUAAGCAAAGGGACACUUCAAAAGGGUGUGACCCGGGCGUUGGUUGACCCGGGCGUAAGGGACCGAAAUUAGAGUAGGGAAGCACACUUAGCUGAAGGCGAGAAAAGCUUUGCGUAUAGAAGCAGAUGCCCGUACCGCAAACCGACACAGGUGGACAGGAAGAGAAUUCUAAGGCCAGCGGGAGAAGGGUAGUUAAGGAACUCGGCAAAUUGACUCCGUAACUUCGGAAUAAGGAGUGCUCGAAAGAGCCGCAGAGAAUAGGCCCAGGCGACUGUUUAGCAAAAACACAGGUCUCUGCCAAAUCGAAAGAUGAAGUAUAGGGGCUGACACCUGCCCGGUGCCGGAAGGUUAAGAGGAGGAGUGAGAGCUCCGAAUUGAAGCCCCGGUAAACGGCGGCCGUAACUAUAACGGUCCUAAGGUAGCGAAAUUCCUUGUCGGGU